ensembl:misc_RNA
UUGAGGGCCCUGGAGAUAUGUCCUCUGUUUAUCCACAGAACAGAUGGAACCUGGACAGCAGCAGUGCAAAUUCCCCCACACUGACCCAGGAACAUGCCUAAACUUUGGCCCCAAGGGACUGUGUCUAGGGGUAAGAAGAUAGUCCCCAUUCUCCCUGCUCAUUUUAUCCUGGCCCUCU